rnacentral:misc_RNA from 1 species
UCGUAACAAGGUUUCCGUAGGUGAACCUGCGGAAGGAUCAUUACCUAGAGUUUGUGGACUUCGGUCUGCUACCUCUUACCCAUGUCUUUUGAGUACCUUCGUUUCCUCGGCGGGUCCGCCCGCCGGUUGGACAACAUUCAAACCCUUUGCAGUUGCAAUCAGCGUCUGAAAAAACUUAAUAGUUACAACUUUCAACAACGGAUCUCUUGGUUCUGGCAUCGAUGAAGAACGCAGCGAAAUGCGAUAAGUAGUGUGAAUUGCAGAAUUCAGUGAAUCAUCGAAUCUUUGAACGCACAUUGCGCCCCUUGGUAUUCCAUGGGGCAUGCCUGUUCGAGCGUCAUUUGUACCUUCAAGCUCUGCUUGGUGUUGGGUGUUUUGUCUCGCCUCCGCGCGCAGACUCGCCUUAAAACAAUUGGCAGCCGGCGUAUUGAUUUCGGAGCGCAGUACAUCUCGCGCUUUGCACUCAUAACGACGACGUCCAAAAGUACAUUUUUACACUCUUGACCUCGGAUCAGGUAGGGAUACCCGCUGAACUUAAGCAUAUCA